rnacentral:rRNA from 1 species
GACGAACGCUGGCGGCGUGCCUAAUACAUGCAAGUUGAGCGCUGAAGGUUGGUACUUGUACCAACUGGAUGAGCAGCGAACGGGUGAGUAACGCGUGGGGAAUCUGCCUUUGAGCGGGGGACAACAUUUGGAAACGAAUGCUAAUACCGCAUAAAAACUUUAAACACAAGUUUUAAGUUUGAAAGAUGCAAUUGCAUCACUCAAAGAUGAUCCCGCGUUGUAUUAGCUAGUUGGUGAGGUAAAGGCUCACCAAGGCGAUGAUACAUAGCCGACCUGAGAGGGUGAUCGGCCACAUUGGGACUGAGACACGGCCCAAACUCCUACGGGAGGCAGCAGUAGGGAAUCUUCGGCAAUAGACGAAAGUCUGACCGAGCAACGCCGCGUGAGUGAAGAAGGUUUUCGGAACGUAAAACUCUGUUGGUAGAGAAGAACGUUGGUGAGAGUGGAAAGCUCAUCAAGUGACGGUAACUACCCAGAAAGGGACGGCUAACUACGUG